UCGGAACAUACCCUAGAGUGGGGGAUAACGUAGCGAAAGUUACGCUAAUACCGCAUACGCACUAUGGUGGAAAGCAGGGGAUCGCAAGACCUUGCGCUCAUGGAGUGGCCGAUGUCAGAUUAGCUUGUUGGUGGGGUAAAAGCCUACCAAGGCGACGAUCUGUAGCUGGUCUGAGAGGACGACCAGCCACACUGGAACUGAGACACGGUCCAG
rnacentral:rRNA from 1 species